CACAUGCAAGUCGAACGGUAGCAGAUCUAGCUUGCUAGAUGCUGACGAGUGGCGGACGGGUGAGUAACGCGUGGGAAUUUACCUUUUAGUGGGGGAUAACUUUAGGAAACUGAAGCUAAUACCGCAUAAGACCUGAGGGUUAAAGAGGGCCUCUAUUUAUAAGCUCUUGCUAGGAGAUGAGCCCGCGUUGGAUUAGCUAGUUGGUAGGGUAAAGGCUUACCAAGGCGACGAUCCAUAGCUGGUUUGAGAGAAUGGCCAGCCACACUGGGACUGAGACACGGCCCAGACUCCUACGGGAGGCAGCAGUGGGGAAUAUUGGACAAUGGGGGGAACCCUGAUCCAGCAAUGCCACGUGUGUGAAGAAGGCCUUAGGGUUGUAAAGCACUUUCAGCGGGGAGGAAGGUAAGCUAAUUAAUACUU
rnacentral:rRNA from 1 species